rnacentral:rRNA from 1 species
AGAGUUUGAUCCUGGCUCAGAACGAACGUUGGCGGCGUGGAUUAGGCAUGCAAGUCGAACGAAUCCCUGAGGGCUUGCUCUUGGGGGGAAGUGGCGAAAGGGGCAGUAAGGCGUGGGUAACUUGCCCGCGGGAUGGGGAUAGCCUUCCUAACGGAAGGGUAAUACCCGGCGAUGUAGUCUGGGGGCAUCCUCGGACUACCAAAUGAAUUUCGCCCGCGGAGAGGCCCACGUGGUAUUAGCUGGUUGGUGGGGUAACGGCCCACCAAGGCUUAGAUGCCUAGCAGGUGUGAGAGCACGACCUGCGCCACUGGCACUGCGACACUGGCCAGACUCCUACGGGAGGCUGCAGUCGAGGAUCUUCGGCAAUGGGCGCAAGCCUGACCGAGCGACGCCGCGUGCGCGAUGAAGGCCUUCGGGUUGUAAAGCGCUGUCGAGGGGGAGGAAAGCCGCAAGGUCUGACCUAUCCCUGGAGGAAGGACGGGCUAAGUUCGUGCCAGCAGCCGCGGUAAUAC